CUCCUACGGGAGGCAGCAGUGAGGAAUAUUGGACAAUGGGCGCAAGCCUGAUCCAGCCAUGCCGCGUGCAGGAUGACGGUCCUAUGGAUUGUAAACUGCUUUUGUACAGGAAGAAACCAUUUCACGUGUGGAAUCUUGACGGUACUGUAAGAAUAAGGAUCGGCUAACUCCGUGCCAG
rnacentral:rRNA from 1 species